rnacentral:rRNA from 1 species
CCCUGGGUUAGUCGGGACCUAAGCUGAGGCCGAAAGGCGUAGGUGAUGGACAACAGGUUGAUAUUCCUGUACUACCGAUAACCGGUUGAGAGAAGGGAUGACACAGUAGGAUAAGCUAAGCACACUGUUGGUUAUGUGUGCCCAAGCAUUGAGGCAGUCAAAGUAGGCAACUCCGCUUUGAUAAUGCUGGGGUGUGAUGGGGAGCGAAAUUU